ensembl:snoRNA
UGUUGUGGUGGCUUCUGGAUUUGGCAGAUCUGUAACUGUAUCAGAGCGGCCUUGAACUACCACAGAGAUCAGAAAGGAGGGAGGCUGUGCUGAGAACUUUUUCAGACUCUUAGUUUUCAGCUUUUUGUUCACCUCCGACAGAA